AAAGGUUUAGCUUCUUUUACCUUUGUUGUAUUGUAUUUACAUCUCCAUUUUGUUGCCCUUAUUUUUAUAUUGAAUUGCCCUAGCAGGGUUCGCACAAAGAAGCGUCUGAUAUUUCCUGGAAAGCCUUCUUUGAAGAAAAAGAAGAAAAAGAAAGUUCAUUCAAAUUUAGAUGGCGAUUCCAAGGAUGAAAAUCUUACUCAAAAGACUUCCUCUACACAGCAUCAUGAUGCCCCUGAUGAUGCAGAAGGUGAAAGAAUUAUAAGGAAAUCUACAAGAACUUCAGUCAUUGUUAGGCAAGCUGAGCGAGAUGCGAUACGUGCUGCUCUGCAGGCAACAAUGAAGGCAAGUUUUUUGGUUAUUUUUUUUUCUUCUUUUAUAGGAAAAUAUUUCUACUAUACAUUGUUAUCUCAAAAAUGGGAAAAUAAAACUGAUCAUGGUAUUGGUUACUGCAUUUAUCUUUUCUAACUGAUAUUUAUAUAUGUGUAUAAAUAUAUAUUCUUUUGUAUAUUGAUGAGAUCUAGUUUAAACUUAAGCAAAAUAAUACAAGAAGUGUUUUCAUAACGACUGCUUUGAGUAUUAUACCAUUUGAUGUUCGUUCUUGACUCUACUCUUGUUCUUGAAACUUUAAUUUCACCGGUGAGAGACUUGGGUAUAUGUUGGAGGGAGCUUUGGGGGGAUGGUUGUCUCAAAGUGCCCUAGUAUUUCCUAGAUUCCUGAUGUGUGAAUUGAUGUCUUUUUACAAGUAAAUGAUAUUCCUCCCUUACUUUGAAAAAGGAAAAGAAGGAAGAUAAAAGAAAGGAAAACUGUAAAUCAAACCGAACGGGAAUCCCAAUCUUUCUGAGGAAAUUAUUCCCGCAUUUUGUCUUGGCUCCUCCAAGAAAAAAAAAAUAAAAAAUGGAUGGACGUAUAGUUUUUUGGCCACUAAGCUGAAAAGGAUUAGUUUCAUUGCACUUCAUUCUGCUUCUCUUGCAUGUAGCUGUAGAUUUGGAUAUGGAUGAAAAUUUCAAGUUUAGGCAAAAAUCAUGUGAAUUGCACAAUUUAUAAAAAUUGUUAAGUUACUGGAACAAUUUGCUCUCCCCCUUAUUUGGUAAUAUUUGAUAAGUGUAAUCAAUGCCCUAGAUUAAGUUCAUUGCAAGUGACAAAUUUAUAAUUUCUAGGAGACUUGUACUUAUAGUGCCAUUUGCCUUAUCAUUUUAUUUAUUUACUUUUUAAAAUUAUAAUAAGGAGCAAUGGGAUCUUAUAUCGUGCUGUGUAAUUCGGUUUAAUCUUAUUAGUAUUGAAAUUUUAUUACUAGAAACUUUCAGAUAAUUAUCUCAGAAAGCAUUAACCUUUGGUUUUGAUGAUUUGUUUGUAAACUUGAUCGAAUUAAUGCCUUAGUGAGCGGAAUAGUAAUCUGACAGUGUUGAGGGUUUAAAUCUUUAGUAUGGUUGUUAAUUUGUAUCAUUCUAUGUUAGAGUUACAAUUGAUUGUAUCAUUGUAUGUUCAAGUUACUAUAAUUAAUUUGUUUGCAUAAUUUCAUUAUUGUUAAAAUUAGUGAUAGGUUGGAGCUAAUAUCUAAAUUCUAUUAAUACUAUUUAAAUAAUAUUAAUAGAUAUUCAAAGUGUAGGUUCUAAAUAAUGGUGUUUGAUUUGUGAAUUUAGUUAGGUUGACACCGUAAAAUUAAGUCUUUCCAUUAAAGUAUUUUGUCCUCUAGAAAAAUAAAAGAAAUUUAUUACUCAUCUUCAUAUGGAAUGGUAUUUGUAUCCUUAAGUUUUGAUGAAAUUGUAAAAGGUUUCUCUAUAUUUUUUUUUAUCAUGUUGUCCUCACCUUUAAGCCUUAUGAAUUUGGGCAUAAAUCUUUAUGCCUCUAGCGUCAUUUCCCAUGAAGAAAUUAGGUUCUUGUUGUUUGUGACCCUCCCCAUUCCCACCUGCGCUGUUUUUUUAGUCUUUGAUCAUCUUGCUUAGGUGGUAGAUGUGAUUUCUUUAACCUAUUUGAUGUUGGAUAUGAUUUAAUAUGGGUGUUCUUUUUCUGCAAAUUUUGAUCCAAGUAGUUUCAAGGUUAAUCACUUUGCUAAAGAAUCAGUAUUAAUUCCAUGAAGACUAUGUCUAAUUAAUAUUUCACAAUGACCUCAGAUUUAACAACAUAAUCGCACUCAUGCAUACAAAGUUUUAAAUCCAUCCGAUAUUUCUAUCACAUCCGUUGAGAAUAUUGUCUUUUUAUAUAUAUAUAUGAUGGUUUGAAAUUUUUUAUAUCAAAUGAUGUUAAGACAUUUUUAAUUACUUGGAAAUUUGAUGGGCAUGAUCUGCUUGAAUAAAUUUUCUUGAAGUACCCAUGUCCGGCACUUGUGUCCAACAUGUGGAUAUGGAGAUAUUACCUCUAAAGAUCCUCCGAAUACAUGGGUAACCUUAGAAAAGGCUUAACCAUAUCGGAUACCCUGUAUCCAACACUCACACCCAAGUCCGAGUAACAUAGGUAUGAAACAUGAUGGUUGGAUUAAGCAGAUAUAUAUCUUCGUGUAUGUGCUACAUCAGCACCAUACUGACUUUGUAGCUCUAUUCACAUGUUUUCUGUUGCCUUAGACUUUGUCAUGCUACUUUUAGCAACAGAGUGCAACUUAAUUAUCUAUGAAGUGUCACGAAGGUAAUUGCUUCUAAACAGGCUGAUGUGGCACUUACACUAUUUUAAUUUUUUAUCUUCAGCUGUUUUAAUUUCCUUCCAAAUAUCAUGCACCUGUCCAAGGGGUUGCUCGGGGAAAACUUAUUGGCUACAAUAUUGGUAUCUUAGUUUAAGUUUAGAUUAUUAUACAUAGAAUUUCCUAAUAAAGAUAUCAAGAAUUUCACACUAUACUUUAUGCACAAAUCUGAGUGUUGGUUAUCUCAUUGAGCAUUGAAAUGCAUAACUAUUUAUAGUCACUUGCUCUUGUUUUCCCCUCCAUUUGAGGUUUGCAUUUUUUUUGAGACUAUAAUGUAGAUAGAAGCAAUAAAAACACAAUCACUGUCUUUUACUGAAACUUCUGUAAUCCUUUGGUUGAAACUUAUGAACUAUUCAGAGAUGUGAAACUGUCAAGUUGUGUACGGUCAGAAUUUGAUGUAUGUAUAUCAAAUUCGUUAAGAAAGUUCAUGCCAACAUUCUGUUCAUAUUUGAUGGGAAUAUUCUCAUGACUCACUAUUUAUGUAUGGAUACUGUCAAAUGUAUGAUUUGUAAUUUCAUAUAUCCGUAUUGCUUGUGCAUGUCUGUCUGUGUGUGUAUUGUUUGAUUGUAUAAUUUGGAAAGAGUGAAAAUGUAGCUAUGCCAUGUGAUUAUUUAUGAGGUAUUUUUUAAUCACCAGCCAAUAAAAAGGAAAAAAGAAGGUGAAGAGAAGAGGAUGACUCAAGAAGAAAUGCUUUUAGAAGCAGCACAAACAGGUUCAGGCUGAAAGUUACCUUUGAUGUUUGGAUUUCUUAGGUUCUUAUUUGAUUUUAACUUGAAUUUAUUAAUUUUAAUUUUGCAGAAAUUAUGAACUUGAGAAAUUUAGAGCGUGUUUUGGCAAGGGAGGAAGAAGUUAAGAAACGAGCAAUAAUCCACAAGGCUGUUUAUAGUGGUCCGCAGAUUAAAUAUGUGUCAAAAGAUGGCAAGAUUCUCUUCAUAGCUGUUGAUUCUAGUUCUUAAAUGCAACAAUAAUAAAUACAUGAUUGUUGAUUAUUUGGAGUCUGUUAAUUGAAAUUAUCUAUACAAAUCCAUGCAAUCUUUUGCAGGUUCUUCAUAUCUAGAAUUUAGUAAAGGAUUGACAUUUCACUCAGAGCUCUCAACCACACCGCUUCCAUGUAAGCUGUAGGGUCGAUUAACAAAAUUUAUGAUGUAGAUUCUUAAAAAAUUUCUUCUUAUCAAACUGAUACUUUUUUGUCAAUCAAUGGCUUUGUUCUCUUCUGGCUUUUAUCUCAUUUUAGUUCCCUUGGAUGUCAUUUUAGCUCAAGCAUUCAACAAACACAACCUGUUGAAGUUGGGGCCAAUCAUUUUGUGGAACUAGUUGUCAUAUUUUUCUUUCAUAUAGGGACAUUAGUUUAGAUCUCCACCGUUGCUAGAAGUUCUGGAAAUUUUGCUUUUAGCCUAGAGCUUAGAUCAUUGGGGUUUUGCAUAGGGGUUUUAAAUUAGCAUCACUCAUUUUUUCAUCCCACCAUGUGAGAUAAUGAUGUUGCUGCAAGCAAAAACAAGGAGCUCGGGGAUAUCAUAUGUAAUGGUGUGAUUUGUAUUUUCAUGAUGAAUGUCUUUGGUAUUAAAUAUUAUUGCUGGCUUUUGUUACCAUUAGAGUUGAUGUAUCUGUAAAUUUCUAGUGGCUGAAAAUGCUGUGUAAAUCACAAUAAAGUUAUCCAAUUCUUAGGCUUAUAGAAAUUGACUUCAACAGAUUUCUUGAAAAAGAAGUGCAAAAUCCAAAUUGGAAUUAGUUAAAAUAUUUAUCAUGUUUUUCAGAAUGAAAAUAAAAAGGGGCUCCACAAGUGGUGUAGAUAAUGAAACGCAAUUAGUUCAUACCCUGAUUUUAGUGAUAAAAAUAGAAACUUGUACCCAUCAGAAAAACUCUCACCCAUGAACCCAGAGGGUGUGAUGCAGAGAAUACUAGAAGCUAAUUAUGGGAUUAAAUGUACUAUUUUAUAGGUGUAGGGUUAUACUUAGUAUUUUACAUUUAAUUAGGGUUUAACAUCCUGUUUUUUUCCGUGCCCUUUUAGAUUUUGUUUUCAAGUCAAGUUUGUUUUCCUGUUUUCUUGAGUUUCAAGUCAAGUUUAUUGCUUUCUGUUCUCCGAGAUUUCAAAUUAAGCUAGUUAGCUUAGUGUCCAAAUUAUGGGUCUAUAUAAAUUAAUGUACUCUUCUAUGGAUGGAAUAGACUUGCAUAAAAUUUUAGCUUAUUGUUUGUGGUUAUGUGAUAAAAUCUUCCUUGGAUGUAAACUCCAAAGGACCCCUGGGUGUCUUAGGUUUUCUUUGUUCUCGGUUUGUGUGAUGCGAUCAAAGAACCAUAGGCUUGAACUUUAAGGAUCUUUUCUCUUUUCUUUACCAAAAUUCUGUUUUCUGAAGAAACUCACAUUAUAUUUAACUUUAAACCUUAGCCCCUAAACUAUCCUGCACCAGUUAGUAUUAGAGCCUAAAGAUUUAAAAUUUUUGAUGUGAUUCUGGGUGCUAAUGGUGAAGAAUGCAAAACUGGAAUCGAACUUUGAGGAUUUCCAACAAGAUCCUGAAGAAGCCAAGAUGGUUUUACUAGAAAAGAUAGAUGCACAAAAAGAAAGAAUUUUGUCCAAGGUGGCAGAAUUGUUCAAAAUUUUUUCUGUCCGAGGCAAACAACUAGGAUUUUAAUUUCAAUUAUGAUUUAGUAUCUUAGUGUUGUUUUGCUAACAUUAUUAGGUUUUAUUUCCAAGUCAAGUUUGCUUUUCCUUUAUCUUGAGUUUCCAGUUACUUAUGUUGUUUUCUAUUUUCUUGAGCUUCAAGCUAAGCUUGUUUGCUUAGAUAGAGUCCAAGUAAGGGUGUACAAAAAUUGAUGUAUUCUAUUGAGGGAAUAGACAUUUUAAAAGUUUUCUGCUUAUUGCUUUUGUGUUGUGUGAUACAAUCAUCCUCGGAGUAUGAUUCCUGAAGAACCCCAGGUUUGAUACUUGGGUUUUCUUCUUCUUGAUUGUGUGAUGCUUAAGGAACCAUAAGCAUGAUGGUUAGGGAUCUAUCUAGUUUCUUUUUCAUUCUUUCUCUCAAGAUAUUUGGAUUAUCGUUGAACUUCAAACCUUAGACCCAAAGCUGUCUUGUAUCAGGAUGACUAAGGAGAGAACUUUCUGUUACAUGAUUUUCUAAAUAUGUGCAUAAUAUUUAUCAUUUAACAGUAUAGUGUGGAUGAUUCUCUAAUAUUUGUUAUUAUUAUUAUUAUUUUUUGAUUCUGGCCUUUUUGUUUAACUACCAUUAGUUCUUUGCUCUAUUGAUAUCCUUUUGAUUCAUUUAUUUGUUUAAAUUAUCUUUACAUCCAGACCCAGAAAAGGCUAUGUGUGCUGUCACUGGAUUGCCGGCGAGGUAAGAGCUUAUUUUCAUAAUGGUUAUUUGAAGAAACUUGAAAGAAUUAUUCUUAUUCUUUCUUAAUAAUUCAACUUACAUAUAUAUGGGAGUGGUUGCUGUUAAUAGUAAAUAAAAAACUAGGGCAUAAUGGAGGAAAAUCCUCCACUAGGAAAAAGAAAUAAAGAAGAGAUUUGGCAUAUAUUAUCAGAUUCUCUUUUAUUAUAGCAUACCGGAAAUAAGAAAAUAAAAUAUAGGAAAGCCCCUACAGUACCUCCCUAAAUAAAAUCCUAAAAUAUCUCCCUAUAAUCUCUAAUUGAUUAUAGAUGCUAAUUUCAAAUUAUUGCUUGAUCUUUCAUUCCAAAGUCUUGCUGCUGAAUAAAUUGUUGUCAUUGCAGUAUUUGGAACCAAAUGGUGAUUUCUUACAGUUGUACUGGAAGCACAUAAAAAUUUCUUUUGCAGCGUUUUUUUCCAUGUUGUAAAGCAUUAGUGGAAUGUUUUGCCUUGCUUUUAUCUUUCUUGAGUUUUAUUUGGACUGUUGGCACUACUGUUAUGCUCCCAGUCAUGAUCAAUUAGCUUUCAAUAGCUUCCAAAUGUAUGUUAGAAAUGUCAUUAGUUUGGGAAAUACAAAAGUGAAAGCCAUGAAUUAGAGAUAUGCUUCUCUUGAGCUGGGAAUUUCAUCAAAGUUGUUACUAUAUCAUGUUUAUGAUUUGGUAGAAAUGUUAAUUCUGUGAUACUUAAACAUUUUAAGAGAGACAAAUUUGGCUUUCUCCAUCCACCCUUAUUUGUUCAAAUUGUGGUUCGAUGUUGUAGGUACCGAGAUCCAAAGACUGGGCUAUGCUAUGCAACAAAGGAAGCCUUUAAAAUUAUUCGAGAACGGUAUGUCUCUAUUCAGUUUUAUCGGUCUCUUUUCUGAUAUAUCACCUUGAGUUAUUCAUUUUCUAUAGUUUACAUGUAUUAUAUGUUACUUGGACUUGGAUGUGAUCGUUAGACAGAGUUGUGUUUGAAAUGAGUAUGUUUAAUUUUUGUAUGUUUGAGGAUCCUUGGAGGGUCCUAUCCUGGCAUCCAUGCUCGUAAAUGUGUUGGACAUAGGUACUUAAAGAAAAAUGACGACUUGUAGCAACAGAGCAUUUAUUUAUAGUUAGCAGAGGUGCUCCUCUGUCAACCAGUUUAAGUCUUCAGCAAUUUCUGAUAUGCUCCCCUAAAUAUACCAACCAAAAGGGAAAUCAUAACUUUUUUUUUAAAAAAAAGAGGGAAGGUGGGAGGGGAGUGGUUAAUCUUAAUUUCUUGCUGAGUUUGUUUUUCCUGAUUUUGUAGUUUUCGAGAUGAACAUAAAAGUGCUCCCAAGAAAAUGGAUAUGGGGGUCUUGCUUGAUUCUCUGUCUGGUCACGGUUUAAUGCCCAGGCGGAAGAGGUCUCACGUAUCAAAUAGAAGUCAAACAUCACGCUUCCAGUACUUGGGGAAUUUCCGCAGAACACCACCUGAUGAUGAUGAAAGUUCAGAUUAGUUGAUAUGGUAAUUUUCUAAAAUUUUCAGCGUAGAUUGCGUUUAUUUCAAGAAGUGUGUUUUUGUUGGCUUUAUCUAUUCUAUUGCAAAGCCUCUGUAUGAUUGGAUAUUUGACAAGCUAGAUCACUUUUCUGUUUCUGGACCACAAAAUCUGUUUAAAGUAAACAAAGGGGAAAAGCAUAAAUUGAGUCAAUUCUUUGAACCGACUUUGUAAUUGCUAACGCUAUCAGGAAGCACCUAUCUUGUUGGCAAUAAUUUUGUCUUGUUUUAAAUCAUGAGCAACCACUCGCUCUAGAAGGUGUGGUCAAGUUAGAUACAGUUUCAAACUCCAUCUUGAAUAUAGUUAUUUUGAUAAAGAUAACCAAAUAUAUGUAAUUGUAGGUUCCUUUAUCUUUUGAAAUGAUUAUCCUGGAUAUGUAAAUGCGUAUGAUGUCACAAUUGUCCCUUGUCAGCAUGCAGUUCUUUCAAAGAAGUUUGUUAAAAGAUUGUUGUGCUUUAUUUAUAAAAAAUGCAGUUUCUGCAUUCUUUUAUUUCUGGGUACACCUUUUAGCUGUUUUAUGAUUUUGUUUGAUUGUUAACAAUAUUGUGAAAGCUCAGUUAUUUUAGGACAUUUUCUGCUGUGUGUGUAUGUGAUUUUGUUUGGGGUUGGUUGCUAUAUUGAUGUUGAGUGAUGAAACUGUUGAUAGGUUAAUUUGAGAUGUAUUUGGAAAUUAAGAAAGUUGAAUGUAAAGAUCAAACAAGAACAAAAGAGGAACAUUGUUUGUCAUCCAUAAUAGAUGAUGUUCUAACCAAUGUGAAACACCUAAUUUUAGGUUUUCAGUUGACUUGUUAAUUUGAAAACUGCAUCAUGAAAGCAUUAAACAUGUAUUUGAUAUCCCUACUACUCUCAAAUGUUCAGAUUGCUAUUGAAGUUUAAAAUGUGCAAUGUACUCAAAUUUUGCUUAUGUUAACUGGAUUGCACAUUCAACUUACUACAAUAGUAGAAAGCAUGUGGAAUUGCCAUGUCAUCACCCCAUGAUCACCACGUCCUCGUGUGGGAUUGAAUGCUGGGACCAUCAUAAUUUGUCUAAUUCGAUUAGGUGAAUGGAUGUUUUAUUUAUAAAAACACUCGGUUGUUUUGAAAUAUAUGAACCAUACAAGCUUUUGUAACCAGAUAUAAGAGAAACUUCAAGUGAAGAUUGUAUGAAGAUGUUUCUAACAUACUGUGGAUGAUAUUGAAUCAUGGGAAGCAGGGUGUGUUCCAAGAAACACUUUAUGGUGAUUUGUUCUAGACUUGGAGUUAUUCUGAGUGAGCUUGGUUUCAAGGUUCGAGCCUUUAUCUAGGGAUUCUUUCAUGUUUAUUGAUUUAUAUUCUCCUAUUGUGAUCUGCAUGCAAUGCACAUUACUGUAACCUAGUUUCUUGCUCUUACAUUUAUUGAAGAAUUUCAGUUAAAUGUUCAUCUUCCAAUUUCUGACAUGGCUGCACUUUUUCUCGCCAGAUUGCAAGGAGUCAUGGCUACUGGCCUCGGGAGUAUUUACAGCUAGAGUGAGACUUAAAAUUGUGUGGUAGGUUUCCCAAUGUUUCAAAAUAUUCAAAUAUAUGUAGAUGUUCCAGGGAUAAUUUAACAUUAUUAAAGUAGGUAGAUAGGAGUGUAAGCUAUAUAUGCAGAUUAAAAACCACUUUUGGCGAUGAAAUGCUUCAGCUAAAAAACUCCUUAGUUAAUUAAAUUAGAGCAUUGUUCUUACCCCCGAAAAAACAGAGAAUCAUUCUUGCUUUACCUUGCUUGGUCAUUUUGAAUAUGCUGCUGUUGUCAGUUUUGGUAAUUUAGCUUACGUUCAGCUUGUUUUAGUUCAGCCGAGCUUCACUUUUCAUGCUCUUUCACAUCCUUCUCCGCUUGAAUAGAGGUACUUUAAAUUGUAAUAUAGACACCAAGUACCAUUUACUCACACACAUACGUAGAAAAAAAUGAUUAUUCAAAUUUGACUACGGCUUGAGGAGUUUAAGCUCUGCUAGAUAACGAAUGAUUCAAUGGAAGGCAAUUUAGUAAUAGGUAAUUUUUUUUUUUAGUUUUCUUAUUUCAGGUGUGUUGGAUGUGAAAUAUAUGCAUUUAAUUAUCUUUAUUUUAAUAAAUGUUAUUAUAUUCUAUAAUUAAUAUAAGUAAUUAUUAUCUUUAUAUUCUAUAAUUAAUAUAAGUAAUUAUCAAAAGAUAAGUCAAAUAUAUAAAAUAUUAAAAAAAUUAUUUGUAUAAAAAGUUUAAAAGAUUAAUAUGUUGCAACUUUAGAUAUACUUCUAAUAUCUGUCAUAAAAAUAUUUAUGAUGGUUAUGAAAAAAAUAUUUAUUUUAAUGUUACAAGUGAUUUAAUAUUUUGCUUUAGUUGAAUUAUAUUUUAAAGUAUUUUUUAACAUGUUGUUUUAAUUAAAAAUAUACUUAUAAUUAUUUUUUAGCUUAAACAAUAUAUCAAUAUUCAAAGAAAUUUUUAUUUAAGAUUUUUUUAUUUUUUUAAUAUUGCAAAAAUAUAUCGAAAGUUUGUACCAAAAAAUUAUAUCUAAAGAAAUUCAUAUGUUUUCAUUGAUAUUAUUAAAUAAUUACAAUUAUAAUAUAUAACAUUGUAUAUAGUGAAAAACAAGCGCGAGUACAAAGGGAUCCAUUAAAAAUUGAAAUAAAUGACUGACAAAUUAAGUUGAUAAUACUUUCUGAAAAAGAAAAUGACAUUGAAAUUUUGUUAUUUUAAAAUUUAUUGAAUUAUAUUUAUUUUAUUUUUAUGUUCAAUAUAUUUAAUGAUGUUAUGUACUUAACUUUUAAUAAUUAAUAACAUAUAUAAAAAACAUGUUAAAAAUAGAUGUACAAUUUAUACGAUAAAAAUAUAAUUAUCAUUUCGUCAGUUACUACUUUUGAUAGCAGAGCUAGUAAAAAACUAUUAAUUUUUAAAUUUAUUGUCAAAGCAUUAUCAUUUAAUUAAAACUAAAAAAAAUAUUUACACGAGAAUAAUAAGUUAUUCUAAUGUUAGUUUAGUAAUAUAAUGAGUAUUAUAGGAUUCUCUUUAAACUCUUAUUUUUAUGUUUACGUUUUAUGCUUUAUAUUGGGUUAAUUAUUUGUUUAUGUCAAAUUAUAAAACAAAAAUUUGAGGGUUAAAUAUGCUCUAAUUCUCUAUAGACUUUGCACAUUUAAAAUUUAGUCUCUACUUUUAAUUUUAAAAAUUUAGUUACUUUACUUUUCAUAUUUAAUAAUUUAGGUCUAGUUGUUACCAUCAUUAAAACCAUUUUUUUUUAAAUUUACUAGAAUGAUUGUAGGAUCAAAUUUUUAAACAAACCCAAACCUAGGCCUAAACAAAUUAACCACUAAAACAAAACCUAGCCCAAUACAAACACAAACCCACUAAACAAGCCCAAAACCAAUAAAGCAAAAAUGGGAAAUCCUAACUUGAGGAAUAGCAGCCGCAAGCAGUUCCCAGCAGCCGGAUCUUGCGCACCAUGUCGACACUCACGUCCAACACGCCUCGUGCCCCCGACUCCCUCGCACCCACGGCUCCCACGUCAGCCUUGCCUGCAGCAAAAAACAAUUAUAAAACAAGGCUAUAAAGCCUAAAAUAAACAAUAUAUUUGGAAACGGUUUUUUUCCCUAGAGACAGAGAACAAGCAAUAGCAAUCAAAGUGAGAUUCAAAGUUUAAGAGGUUACUUUUCAUUCUUUUACCAGACUUUUUUUUUCCCUUUUUAUUUUUUUUUCUUCUUUCAUAUUUUGAUAAAUCGAUUUUGAAUAAAACCAAAAGAAGAAGGCUUACUCGAUUUUGCUCCGUGAAGCGCCGAUAGAGGCAGAGGUGCAUGGCGCCGAUGACCCUCAGAUACGGAGCUAAACUUGGUUAAAUCUUUAGCAAGGCAAAAGGGGGUGGUUUUUUUUUUAAAUUUAAAGAUGCUAGAUGUAACUCUCUUGCAAGUUUUUACUUUAUAAGUUUAUAAAGUAGCACUGUUUGGUGCCUUGAUUUUUUGGGGAUUAUUUUGCAAUUGAUCCCUCCCUGUUACUCUAGCUUUUAAUUCGGACCCUUUUGAACUUUGGUUAAUUAUGAUUUGGCCCCAAAACUUAGAUUUUAUCGCAUUUUCGUCCUAUACCAAAACACUGCGCUUUGAAGGAUAAGAAAAUUUGCUUUCCUGGUCCUCCCUCUUAGCCCGUACGUUCAUUUUAGCCCAUGUGGCUUUUGUUUUCUAAAGUUCGCCCCGAAACUCCUGUUUCACUGCAAUUUAACCUUUUUUCCUUGCUCUUUUGUCAUUUUACCGCUGACUUAAUUAAUUUGAGCCUUAUUUUCAUUUUUUUUCUGUUAAUUUAAUUUGUUUGAGUUAUGUUUUACAUUAUUAUAUCAUUUUAUAUUAUAUGCUUAUUAUAGGUUUUUUUAGCAAAGUUAAUUAUUUUAUGUAUAAAUUUUAAUCAUAUUUAUAUAUUAUUUGUUAUAUUUUUUUUACUAAUAAGCAUUUUUAUACUAUUUAGUUUUUUUUAGGCUCAUAAUUUUAAAUAUAGUUUAUUAUACUUCUUAUUUUCUUCAUUAUUUUUACUAUUUACUACCAUUUUUUUGUCACUUAUAACUUAUAUAUAUACAUUUUUUCCCUAAAAGUUUUUUUUCCUUCAAAUAUAUUCUUUAAUGGACUUAUCAUAUUGUUUUUUUAUAUACACCAUUUUUUUAUCAGUUAUUUUAUACUAAAUUAUUAUUAUUUAUUACUCCUUACUAUAUAUUAUUAUUGAUUUCAUAUUGCUUGCUGUCCAUAUUCUUUAUAUAUAUAUGUAUUAUAUUUUAUUCAUACAUUUGUUUCUUUUAAAUCCCAUUUCAAAGUAUACCUCGGUCUUUAAAAUAUUUUCUUAUGUUAUUUUGCGUAUAUAUUCAAUUUAAAUUAUGCCUUUUACUUUAUAUGCAUAUCUUCUGAUCCUGUUAUGAUUUAGUCGUAUUAUAUUAUUGCAUUAGAUUAUUGUUAUAUAUUUCACAAUGGCAUACCUGUUUCCUUGUAUGGUAUAACAACUCAAAUUUAAACUCACUUAAGCCAGUUCUUAGUUUUUUCAUUUUUUCAAAAAUAAAUUAAAUAAAUACAUUUUUAAUUGACUUUAGAUCGUUUUCAAAAGUCUUAUAAAACAAGGCAAUGUUUCGCGUUUGGAAGUCCAAAAGAGUCGUGCCCUAACGUGCUGGGUUGUGGUUUUUUUCGGUGAUCUAAAUGUCUAAAUAUCCUUCUAGUCUCAGGUUUCAGAAAAUUAAGGGACUAUUUGGGUCUUGAGGGUUAAAAUGUUGUAUCCUAACGUGUUGGGUGUGACAUUUUGUCCUUUUGGAACAAAUAAGCCUUAAUAUCCCAAAACGAACCGUUCAAAUAUUUUCUAAAAGAAUUAUAUUUUAAAAUCUCUUAAAAUUUUCAACAAUAAGGACAUUAUUAAUCAAUUUGGUACCGAUUUUGGGUGUUACGAGAGUGCUAAUCCUUCCUCGUACGUAAUUGAUUCCCGAACCUGUUUUCUUAACAUUCUUAGACCAAAAUGCUUUAUAAGGUGGCCCAAUUACACCUCAAAAAGAAUUGGUGGCGACUCCAUCCAUGUUUUUAAAGUCGAUCAACGUUUUAAAAUUAAAAAUGGUUUCGACAGUUUGGCGACUCCACUGGGGACUUAAAGAGAGUCAAGCCGUAAAAUUGAUUAAUUUCUGUCCUUUUGUCGAAAAUGGAAAUUGUGUUUUGAAAUUAUGUUUUCUUCCGUCACAUUUGUUAGUAUCAUUUUUAUUUUCUCUUAUGUUAUUCCUGCAUCAUACUGCAUGUCCGUUGUCGCACCCUUAAGUGGGAGUGAGAAGCUAUGCCUUCGUGAGGUUUUCACCUCUGCAUGGGCUAGUGGGUUGCUUCCGGGAUACAUCCGUACCUAUGGUUUCGUGAGGUUUUCACCUCCGCAUGGCCAUAGGGAAAUGUAUCCCCCUGAACUGAACUCGAUCCAUAUGAGCCUAUAAUGGGUGAGGAUCAAGGAAUCUGCUGGUUCAGGUACCCUUUCCUUAGAACUGAACCGCAUAUAGUAACCCUUAGGGACCUACCCUAAGUAGAGCCAUGCCAAAUUCUAGUGAUUACCCAAAUAGGUUUUUGAUUAUUUCUUGCUUGCUUUGAUUUUUAUUAUUUGAUACUAACUUAUUGUGUUUUAUUUUUGCCAUGAUUGCAUGUCAUUUCAUAUUUAGGAAGGUGUCAAUACCUGUUCGAUUACUAAGUUAGAGAGCUUGUCAUGGAGAGUGGACUUCUUGAUAAAGUGGGGGAUAAUGUGGUUGUCCGUGCAUGGUCAGAGAAUGCUCAGCUCGAGAAAGGGGAUAGCUUGGCCGAGGGGUACGUGUCGAAAUUGUGGGACUUCACCCGUAUUAGUGUGACACAGAAUGAGCUCCAAGAAUUGAGGGAUAUAUGGGCCCGCUGGAAUGAUGAGACCAAGAAAUUGUUCUACUACAACUACGGUGAUCUGCCUUACCUGCUUGACAUUAAGGUAGACAAGUACUUGUUUCGAGCUAUGACUCAGUUCUGGAACCCCGCAUAUAGUUGUUUCACCUUCGGGAAAGUGGACUUGGUGCAACCGUGGAGGAGUAUUCAGCCCUGUUACGUUGUCCAAGGUUUCAAACGGAUAGAGUGUAUGUUAAGGUCCCCAAUGUACCGAGUUUUGUAAAGAAGCUAAUGAACGUCAUUGGGAUGAGUGAGCAGUGGGUUACAGCCUGGAUUCAACAAAAAGGUGAGGGGAAAUGCAUUCCUUGGGUGAACUUGAGAGACUUGAUCCUGGCACAUCCAGAUGCAAAGAAGAAGGUUGACGUUUUCGCCUUGAGUAUUUAUGGGUUAGUGAUCUUUCCCAAAGCAUUACGACAUAUCAACGAAGCAGUCAUUGAUUUAUUGGAUAGGCUUACCAAACAGGCUACACCGAUACCAGCAAUUCUAGCAGAGACAUUCAGAUCUUUAAAUGCAUGUCGAAGGGCAGGUGAGGGAAGAUUCGUGGGAUGCACGCAAUUAUUAUUGGUUUGGUUCUAUGGCCACUUCUGGAAAGUUCACAGAAUGCCGAAUCGAGUUUUUUUUGAAAAUUAUUCCCCUUUGAAGGAGAUAGCAGCUACGCCCAUGAGGGAUGACAUAUCAGAAGAAAGGUGGAUGACAAUUCUCCAAAAUCUCCAAGAAAAAGAUGUGGAAUGGAAGGCCCCUUGGAUGGUUCCCGAUGAAGUCCUCUACCGGUGCGGAAAUUUUGACUGGGUACCUCUGCUUGGAGUUUGGGGAGUUGUUGGGUAUGCCCCUUUGCUGGUGUUAAGGCAGUUUGAGUUAGAGCAGUUUGUACCUGCGACACAUGGGUUAGCUCAUAGUGAAUUUUUGUAUAAAGGGGAUAAUUAUAAGAAGAGAGUUCGAGAAAUCGCCGAUGCCUGGAAACAGACACACCGAAUGAAGAAGUUGACUAGAUGCCCAAUGACGACUCCUGAGUACAGUAGGUGGUUGAGUAAGAAGAUCAAUGAUAAUAUUCCGAGGCCAAGUCUAGAAGGCGUCCAAUCGAUGGAAGAACACUUACGAGUAAUUCCUUCCGAGCUGGAAAUUAUAAAACAAGACCUCAAAAGGAGAAAUUCAGAGUUAGGAAAGAAGAUAGAGCAGUUGGAGGAAGAGAAGAUGCAUCUAAGGUUAGAUAUUGACGUUCAGAAACUCGAGGCUGAGAAACUGCGAAAGGGGAAAAGAAAAGCUGAGGAGGACUUGGACGCUUUGAAGACUGAUUACCGGCAGCUACAUAAGUCAAUGAGAAAUGCUGGACUGGGAAAGAUAUCAGAGCAAUGGCGACAAGAGGUCCAAGAGGAAAGGUCUAAAGCCGAACAAUGGGAAAAAAGAUUUCAUGAUACUUGUGCACGAGAGAGCGUUUUAAAAAAGAGUUUGGUUGAAAGCCAGAAUGAAAAAGAAAUGUUAAGAGCUCGAGUAGAGGAGUUAGGGAUGGCGCUUCAUCAAUCUCGUAGUCGCAACUCUGCAGUAGAGCUGAAGGCAAGCUUAAACAGGAUCGAGGAUUUGAGAGGGAAGAUAGAAGAACUUGAGACCGAACUUCAGAACCGUGAACUUCAAAUUCAACUUCUUGAGUCAGAUAAUGAGCAUUGGAAAGAGCUGCUACAUAGAUCUCAGAACCAGGUCAGGGACAGAGAUUGCAUCAUGGGUGAGGCCGUGGCUCAGAUUCGAGAGGUAGCGGAGCAUUUGCAAACUCUAGCAGUUCAAGCUGACGUGUUAAGUAUAAAGUAUGAAUUAGAGUCAGAUCGAGGUCGAGAGCUAGCUGGGCUUCUCGAGAGAGUUAAAACUUUAGGCAUAAGGGCUAGGCCAUAUAUAUAACCCGUUUUAUGUAAAGUUUUCUGUUUUCUAAUAAAGUUAUUUUAAAAGAAAUUGAAUCAGAA
rnacentral:lncRNA from 1 species